GCCCUGGUAGCUCAACUGGAUAGAGCAGGUGCGUUCUAAGCACUUGGUUGGGGGUUCGAGUCCCUCCCGGGGCACCA
rnacentral:tRNA from 1 species